rnacentral:rRNA from 1 species
CUACGCACUCCUACGGGAGGCAGCAGUGGGGAAUAUUGCACAAUGGGCGCAAGCCUGGAUGCAGCCAUGCCGCGUGUAUGAAGAAGGCCUUCGGGUUGUAAAGGUACUUUCAGCAGUGAGGGAAGGUGGGUAUGUUAAUUAGCAUACUCAUUUGACGUUAGCUGCAGAAGAAGCACCGGCUAACUCCGUGCCAGCAGCCGCGGUAAUACGGAGGGUGCGAGCGUUAAUCGGAAUUACUGGGCGUAAAGCGCAUGCAGGUGGUUUGUUAAGUCAGAUGUGAAAGCCCGGGGCUCAACCUCGGAAUUGCAUUUGAAACUGGCAAACUAGAGUACUGUAGAGGGGGUAGAAUUUCAGGUGUAGCGGUGAAAUGCGUAGAGAUCUGAAGGAAUACCGGUGGCGAAGGCGGCCCCCUGGACAGAUACUGACACUCAGAUGCGAAAGCGUGGGGAGCAAACAGGAUUAGAUACCCUGGUAG